CUGAGGGUAGGGGUGAAAGGCUAAUCAAACUUGGAGAUAGCUCGUACUCCCCGAAAUGCAUUUAGGUGCAGCCUGUGGAGUUUCUUACGUGAGGUAGAGCGACUGAUUGGAUGCGAGGCUUUCACCGGCUAUCAAGUCCAGACAAACUCCGAAUGCACGUUAAGUAAUAUCCACGGAGUGAGGGCAUGGGUGCUAAGGUCCAUGUCCGAGAGGAGAAGAAUCCAGACCAUCGGCUAAGGUCCCGAAAUAAUAGCUAAGUUGACCAAACGAAGUCAGAGUGCGAAGACAGCUAGGAUGUUGGCUUGGAAGCAGCCAUUCAUUUAAAGAGUGCGUAACAGCUCACUAGUCGAGUGCUUUGGCGUGGAUAAUAAUCGGGCAUAAGCUAUUUACCGAAGCUGUGGGAUGUGUAAACAUCGGUAGGGGAGCAUUCUAGCGACGCUGAAGGUGAGAGGACAACUCUUGCUGGAGUUUCUAGAAAAGCAAAUGUAGGUAUAAGUAACGAUAAAGGAGGUGAGAAACCUCCUCGCCGAAAGACUAAGGUUUCCUGAUCAACGCUAAUCGGAUCAGGGUUAGUCGGGGCCUAAGGGGAAGCCGAAUGGCGCACCCGAUGGAAGAACCGGUUAAUAUUCCGGUACUAAUUAUGUGAGCGAUGUGGAGACGGAGAUGUGACGGUCCUGCCAACUGACGGAAUAGUUGGUUGAAGGGUGUAGGAGUUGAUCUGAGUAGGCAAAUCCGCUCGGAGAUCCGAACCUGACAGUACUCUGAGUGCUUGCACAAGGAGAUAUGGACAACUGUAACGGCGCUCCCAAGAAAAUCCGCUAAGCAUAUUGCAUGAUUACCCGUACCAUAAACCGACACAGGUGGUUGGGUUGAGUAUACUAAGGCGCUCGAGUGAUUCGCGGUUAAGGAACUAGGCAAAAUAGUCCUGUAACUUCGGAAUAAAGGACGCUCACAGUGAAGGCUGUGAGCCGCAGAGAAUAGGCCCAGGCGACUGUUUAACAAAAACACAUGGCUAUGCUAAAUCGAAAGAUACUGUAUAUAGCCUGACACCUGCCCGGUGCUGGAAGGUUAAGAGGAGAUGUCAUCGCAAGAGAAGCAUUGAAUUGAAGCCCCAGUAAACGGCGGCCGUAACUAUAACGGUCCUAAGGUAGCGAAAUUCCUUGUCGGGUAAGUUCCGACCUGCACGAAUGGUGUAACGAUCUGGGCACUGUCUCAACCGCGAGCUCGGUGAAAUUGUAGUAUCGGUGAAGAUGCCGAUUACCCGCAACGGGACGAAAAGACCCCGUGAACCUUUACUAUAGCUUUGCAUUGGAUUUGGGUAACAAAUGUGUAGGAUAGGCCGGAGACUAUGAAGCGGGUACGCCAGUAUUCGUGGAGUCGCCGUUGAAAUACGGCCCUUUUGUUAUUUGGGUUCUAACUCGCGGAUGCGAGGACAUUGCAUGGUGGGUAGUUUGACUGGGGUGGUCGCCUCCAAAAGUGUAACGGAGGCUUCUAAAGGUACCCUCAGACCGAUUGGUAACCGGUCGUAGAGUG
rnacentral:rRNA from 1 species